GCUUCCGUAGUGCAGCGGCAGCACGUUAGGCUCAUAAUCUAAAGGUCCUUGGUUCGAAACCAUCCGGGGGCACCA
rnacentral:tRNA from 1 species